rnacentral:rRNA from 1 species
UACGUAGGGGGCAAGCGUUGUCCGGAAUUAUUGGGCGUAAAGAGCUCGUAGGCGGCCUGUUGCGUCCGCUGUGAAAUCCCGGGGCUCAACCCCGGGCGUGCAGUGGAUACGGGCUGGCUGGAGGCAGGCAGGGGAGAACGGAAUUCCUGGUGUAGCGGUGAAAUUCGUAGAUAUCGGGAGGAACACCAGUGGCGAAGGCGGCGACCUGGGCCAAUAUUGACGCUGAGGUGCGAAAGCGUGGGGAGCAAACAGG